rnacentral:lncRNA from 1 species
GCGCAGCGUGGGAGGAGGCCAACUCUCGGGGCGCUCCCUAGCCCUGGGUGGGUGGAGCGGGGGAAGCGGAGUACGUUGGACCCGGCUCCGCCCUACCCCACGGGGCCGCCUGGAGAGGUGCUGGGAGCUGGGUGGAGCUUAGAGGAAUUAAACUUUGGCCCUGCGCCUCGUCCAGCCUAGGUUCCACCCUUUUCUGGGAACGUGAGUAUCAACCAAGAAUGAAUCUCGCUGUGUUGUCCAGGCUGGAGUGCAGUGGCACCAUCUCGGCUCACUGCAACCUCUGGCUCCCAGGUUCAAGCGAUUCUCCUGCCUCAGCCCCCUGAGUAGCUGGGAUUACAGGCACGCGCCACCACUCCCAGAUCUUCACUUCAGGUCAGCUCCAAGGAGGCUAUCCUUGCCCAUCUUCCUAAAAUAGAGCUCUCAAAACCUGGCUGUUUUCCUUCAGAGCACUGGCCUCCAAUUGCUCCGGUAGAUUGCAAAUGACCUGCUUUCUUUCUGUUCCCGGGCGUUUGGACCCCUGUCUUGGACCGCUGUCGGAUAGUAAAUCCCAAGUAAGGUACCUGCCGUCGGCAGAUUUGAGCUUUCUUCUUGGACACCUAAUACCCAGAGUCCUCCAGGCUCCGGUAGAUUGCAAAUGACCUGCUUUCUUUCUGUUCCCGGGCGGCAUCGGACCCGUCGGAGAGUAAAUCCCAAGUAAGGUACCUGCCGUUGGCAGAUUUGAGCUUUCUUCUUGGACACCUAAUACCCACAGUCCUCCAGGCUCCGGUAGAUUGCAAAUGACCUGCUUUCUUUCUGUUCCCGGGUGGCAUCGACCCGUCGGAGAGUAAAUCCCAAGUAAGGUACCUGCCGUUGGCAGAUUUGAGCUUUCUUCUUGGACACCUAAUACCCACAGUCCUCCAGUAAAUCCCAAGCAAGGUACCUGCCGUCAGCAGAUUUGAGCUUUCUUCUUGGACACCUAAUACCCACAGUCCUCCAGGCUCCGGUAGAUUGCAAAUGACCUGCUUUCUUUCUGUUCCCGGGCUGCGUUCGGACCCCUGUCGGAUAGUAACUCCCAAAAAAACAAACAAAGACAUGGAUUUACUGUGCAUAUUAGCAGAUCCAUACUGGAAAAUGCAUGGAGGUUUCAUAUACACCACUUACAGGUUUCCAAAGCCACAAUUUCCUUCAUAUGUUCAAACUCUUCAGGAUGCAGAAAGGCAGUGAACUCCUCCGGAGUAGCUGUCAGGUCACCAUUGAGGUCUGCAGCUUUGAAUCUUCUCUCAUCACGUGGCAGCAUCUUUUUAAAGGUGUGAUGAUCUGAAGAAUCAUGAAACUCUGCGGGGUUUCCUAGGUUUUCAGCUCCUCAGUAGUGACAAAGCCAUACCCAUCAUUGUCGAUUCGAUCAACAAUCUUCCCUAGCCUCUCCUUGCUCUCGUCCGGGGUGAGCUCGUCGAAGUUCUUGGAGUCCUCCUUGCCCAGGAAGGCCUCGUGGUCGUACUGGAAGCUCUGGUUGUCCUCAGGGGGCCGCUCGCCCAGCUCCGAGUCGGGCCGCACCACGCGCUCUUUGCGCACCGUGGGCUUGGCCCGCAGAACCCGCGGCGCCAGCACCAGCGCCAGCAGCAGCCCCAGGGCUAACCCCAGGCGGCCACCGCGCGCCAUCGUCCCGAGGAGAGGGCGGCCGGGAGGGAGACGCUGAGCGAGCGACAACAGCGGCAGCUCGGGAAUGGGGGCUCGGAGCGCGGCGGCCAAGUUUUAUGUUAUGUAUAUUUUACAAGUAAAAAAAUUUUUUCACCUCAGCCUGA